GCGCCCCCCCGGACCGUCCCGGUACCCCCGCAGCCUGCCCGGGUCCCUCGUCGCCCUCACAGCGGGCACGCGGCGCCCGGACGCGGGGCGGCUCUCGGGAAGGGGGGCUCGGGCGGCCGCGUGCCCCCUGCGGUAAGCGCGCUGCCCCCCGCUGCCAUCGCUGCAGGGCGAUGUAGGUAUUGGAGCUGAGGCUCUGCCCCGCUCGCUGCCUCCGAAGUUCGCCCGCACCUUUGUUCCACCCGGUUUAGCCGCAGCAGCGAUGGCGCGGGUGGAGCGGGUGCCCCCGGUGCCGGCUUUGCCCGCGGUUCUGCCCGGGUGACAGCGCCGAGCAGGGCGUUGCGGAGAGGUGCCCGCCGGCUGCGUCCCGGAGAGCUCCUGGCUGCAAACGGCUCAGGAAGCGCUGUCCUGGGGCUGGGUAAACUGCCUUCAGGGGUAACAAAGGAACAGCACCUGACACAUCUCUGAGGGGACGUGGCGUUGUGACAGGCUUGCAAUCGGAGCUGCGGGCUGGAAGAAAGAGAAAAGUGUAAAAGCAUGUUAGCAAACAUAAAAAUGAGCCAAGAAGAUGCUAGGGGGGGGGGAAGAAGAAAUCAUAAACGUGAACGUGAUGUUCCUCCUGGCUGAGGACUCCAAAUGCUCACCACUUGCUGGAUCUUGCAAAAUUACCUGGCACUUGCUAUGCAUAAACCAGAGGUCUUGGUUCUGUGUCAUUUGAUGAAGAUAUCAUCUGAUUUGCUUACCAGCAAGGGUAGAGGGAUGAGACUUGACAUUAAAUUCCACUUGCUCAAAGAAUACAUCUAUCAGAAGUCAGGAUUCCUGUCACAAGGGACAAGCACUGCAAAGUUCUAGGACUGGUGGAGUGCUGGUAAAUACAGAUGGCUCCUUUCACCAUCCCUCUACAACACUUGACCAUAAUAAUCUACUUUGUCAAAUGGAAAUAGCCAGAGCACAGAAACAUAAUGCUCUGUUUUGCUAUGUCAUCUCUGUCUCUUGGAGUUGUUGAUGAAAUUUGUGUCUGGAUAAAGAAAAUGUUUUGCUUCUUGGACUGCUGCAGGAAUGUUGAAAUAUCAUCACAAAAUGUAAGUGUCUGGAGACCUAAUUGCAUCCUCACCA